GAUGAACGCUGGCGGCGUGCCUAAUACAUGCAAGUCGAGCGAACAGACGAGGAGCUUGCUCCUCUGACGUUAGCGGUGGACGGGUGAGUAACACGUGGAUAACCUACCUAUAAGACUGGGAUAACUUCGGGAAACCGGAGCUAAUACCGGAUAACAUGUUGAACCGCAUGGUUCAACAGUGAAAGACGGUCUUGCUGUCACUUAUAGAUGGAUCCGCGCCGCAUUAGCUAGUUGGUAAGGUAACGGCUUACCAAGGCAACGAUGCGUAGCCGACCUGAGAGGGUGAUCGGCCACACUGGAACUGAGACACGGUCCAGACUCCUACGGGAGGCAGCAGUAGGGAAUCUUCCGCAAUGGGCGAAAGCCUGACGGAGCAACGCCGCGUGAGUGAAGAAGGUCUUCGGAUCGUAAAACUCUGUUAUUAGGGAAGAACAAAUGUGUAAGUAACUAUGCACGUAUUGACGGUACCUAAUCAGAAAGCCACGGCUAACUACGUG
rnacentral:rRNA from 1 species